AAGAGAUCUCCUGAGAAAAUCUGUUUUGCUUGAAGAGUGUUUAAUAGAUAGAAGGUGCUUCCUUUUUAGGAGCUGAAAUUUACCUUCUAACCAUUCCUUUCAGUCCAAUGAAGAUUCCCUACUGCAAGAAGGGUGUAGGAAUACCACAAAAAGGCUUAUGCAAUACAAGAUGCCUGCUGCCCUUCUAGGAAGAAUCUCUUACUGAAAUGAAAGAAACAAGACCAACCAGAUGACAUUGCCUGCUGGCGGAGGGAGGAUGCACACUAGCAGGGAGAAAACCAUACUAGCUCUCCUAGGGUGAUGUCCAUCUCCAAAAAAUGAACAUUUCAUGUGAUGUCCCAUAACUGCUCCUUGCUCUGGUCUAUCUUCGUUUUAAUUAAAACUCAGAUGUUCACUAUCCUCACAUUAGCCCAUAUUUGGCCUCUACCAAUUGGUUGAAAUUUUUGGCUAAAUCAUUCUUACUGGACUGUGUGGUGUUAAGACAGUAAGUGCUCAUAUCU